rnacentral:rRNA from 1 species
GUAGGAUAGAGGCCUACCAUGGUGGUAACGGGUAACGGGGUGUUAGGGCACGACACCGGAGAGGGAGCCUGAGAAACGGCUACCACAUCCUUGGAUGGCAGCAGGCGCGCAAAUUACCCAAUCCCGACACGGGGAGGUAGUGACAAUAAAUAACAAUACGGGGUUCUUUCGGAUUUCGUAAUUGGAAUGAGUACAAUUUAAAUCUCUUAACGAGGAACAAUUGGAGGGCAAGUCUGGUGCCAGCAGCCGCGGUAAUUCCAGCUCCAAUAGCGUAUAUUAAAGUUGUUGCAGUUAAAAAGCUCGUAGUUGAAUUUCGGGACUAAUAUGUCGGUCGUGCCUCGGUACGUACUGGUUUAUUGGUUUCUCCUUUCUGAAGAACCAUGAUGUCAUUUAUUUGGUGUCGUGGGGAAUCAGGACUGUUACUUUGAAAAAAUUAGAGUGUUUAAAGCAGGCUCACGCUUGAAUACAUUAGCAUGGAAUAAUGAAAUAGGACGUUUGAUUCUAUUUUGUUGGUUUCUAGGAUCGACGUAAUGAUUAAUAGGGAUAGUUGGGGGCAUUAGUAUUCAAUUGUCAGAGGUGAAAUUCUUGGAUUUAUUGAAGACUAACUACUGCGAAAGCAUUUGCCAAGGAUGUUUUCAUUAAUCAAGAACGGAAGUUAGGGGAUCGAAGACGAUCAGAUACCGUCGUAGUCUUAACCAUAAACUAUGCCGACUAGGGAUCGGAUGAUGUUAAUUUUUUAAUGACUCAUUCGGCG